UACGGAGGGUGCAAGCGUUAUCCGGAUUCACUGGGGUUUAAAGGGUGCGUAGGUGGGCAGGUAAGUCAGUGGUGAAAUCUCCGGGCUUAACCCGGAAACUGCCAUUGAUACUAUCAGUCUUGAAUACCGUGGAGGUAAGCGGAAUAUGUCAUGUAGCGGUGAAAUGCUUAGAUAUGACAUAGAACACCAAUUGCGAAGGCAGCUUACUACCCGAAUAUUGACACUGAGGCACGAAAGCGUGGGGAUCAAACAGG
rnacentral:rRNA from 1 species